rnacentral:snRNA from 1 species
GUGAUUGCACAACUGAACAUUGAUUGCUAACGUAUAGCAAUUAUGGCAGAUCUGCUCAGUGGAUGUUAUCACGUUGUCGUAAGCUUCAAGUAGCUUUUGUAUCAGAGACUCCGGAUUGUGCAUGCAUCUUCGUGGCUCGUUUACGACCUCGGAUUUGCACGCCUGCACGGUCGAGUCUUCACGUCGCUCCUCGAAGUAC